AUGUAUAAUAGGAAAGUGGAUAUUAACUUUGAGUUGCGUGAAAUUCUGGUCAAUGAAGAGAUAUUCUGGCUCCAACAAUCCCAUGAGCGAUGGCUGCUCAAAGGGGAUUUGAAUACAAAUUAUUUUCAUAAGAUUGCGAACGGGCGCAAGAGGAAAAACACCAUCCACUCUCUUAAAAGUGGUGAUGUGGAGAUAGAGGGCACAGAUGACUUAAUUUCACAUGCUACAGAAUUCUAUAAGAACCCGUUCGGCCCACCAGGCAACCUAUUUCAUAUGGAUCCUGAGUCGUGGGGGGAAGCGGAGAAACUAACUAAAGAGGAUAACGAUGACCUGACUAGGGUCUUCUCGGAGGAGGAGGUAAAAGAUGCUUUGUUUGCGAUGGAUGCUAAUAGAGCACCUGGCCCUGAUAACAUCCCUGCAGAAUUUUACCAACACUGCUGA
rnacentral:rRNA from 1 species